UUUCGACGUCCAAAAGCUAGGUAGGGUCGGGAAACCGGAAACCCACAUAUUUUUUUUUUUCCUAAUGUCAAUGUUUUUCUUUUAGACUAAAUCUCAACUACUAAGGUUGUUCAAACUCUUAAUUGCAUCAUGGGAAAGGCGAAGCUUCACAUUAACAUUGUUGUUAUUGGUCAUGUGGACUCUGGCAAAUCGACCACCACUGGUCAUUUGAUCUACAAAUGUG